AUGUUUCAUGUCGAUUAGGAGGUUCAUGGCUUAAAUUUAAAGUGAGACCAUUCAACAAGUUUGCAGGCUUGUUUCCAGCCCUGGUUGUCUGCUGUACCUCCCAGCACCUCAACCUCCAAUAUUCAGCCUAAGCUGCCGCCAUCACCACCACCACCUCAGCCUUCCAGUGUGCUCAGUGUCUUCCCGAUUCUGUGACUGGAAGGAAGGUAAGGAACAAAUGAAGCAAGUGUCUGGAGAAGACGGUUUCAGAUACAGAAAGCAGCAGACGCAAAUCUCUGAGCAGGACCUUGUUCAUGGAUGCCAGAACAUGCUGGAGUCUCUAGUAGCUGGAGAAGAGCCUGUGGGUUGCCUCUUCACUCUGUUGAUUAUUUCCUUUGCUGCGCAGAAGCUUUUUCCUUUGAGAAAUCAACGUUGCAGAUUGCCGUGGUGUUUUUCCUAGAUCUCCCAACGAGACGGAGAGCCCCAGUUGUCUAGUUUCUGAGAAAGUUGAUGGAUGACAAUUUUAAUCGAAGUCCUUCUCCAGGAACUGUCGUCAGGCCCCUCUCCAGGGCAGUCUGUAGCCCAUAAGUGUUUGAGCACAAUAUUUGCUUUAUCACAAAAUGUUCAGCAUAAUUUUUCUCCCUCCCACACUGGAAGAAUUUUAAAACUGAUAAUAGCCAAGAACAGAAUGGCUCUUGAAACAGAGCUGGAGAUCCAUAUAAGGUA
rnacentral:lncRNA from 1 species